rnacentral:lncRNA from 1 species
GGACUGGCGUUGGCGGGGCCUUCCAGAGACUGCGUAACACGGCUCAGUAACCCACACGCCGGCCAUGGCAGAACCCCCUGAAAACACGUUUCCAGGGCCUGCCCCGACGUGGCCUCUGUCUUCAAACCUCUCCAGUGUGACUCUUCAACUCCCUUCACAGUCGGGUGUUUUUGUGGUCAGGGGUGACUGUGGACUUGCGACUUGCGUGUCUAGUUUCUCAUGAUGAUCCACUGGGCUGGCAGCCUCUGACAGGGAACACUCAGCACCGUGUCAUUUCCCUUUAGGUGACUUGUGGAUCCCUGGCAAGGGUACAGGCAGGCGGAUCAGGGCCAGCGCUCUAAGGACAGCAGCACAGGGCAGAGGUGGAGAGGCGCCCAUCGAGAACGGCUUCUCUUGCCCAGUUGCUCGCCAUGGUAACCAGCCAGAUGUGGAACCCCAGCAGAAGGUGGCGAUGACAUCAUUCUUGGGCUUCUGAUUGACUGCGGCGGUUCUUUCACCAGAGGAUCUGACAGGUGGCCUCACUCACCACCUGCAUCCGGAGGAAAGGUCGGGGGAGCAAUUUUCAGGCAGAACAAAGCAGGCCGGGGAGAUAUCCUGCAUGACUCAUCGGUGUGCCACGCAACCAGCGCUUCCGGGCCUCAGGAGAAACCAGACACAGAGGGCCAUUGUUUGUCCCGGAAGCCCCCGUUGCCUCUGCAGCCUCAGUGGGGUCACUUGUGUUUUUCUCUCUGGUUCUCUGUGACUGUAGUCAGUCUCGGGGGUGGGGAUCCUCCGGGCUGCCUGGGUCCCUGCAACAGGAGAAAAUCAAUAUCUAGUCACCCACCCACAAGUCCCAUCAGAAUACCCCUAAUGAGGGACCGGGCCAGGCCUGGGAGGGAACAGACUGCCUCUCUCUGCCUCCUGGCUUAAACAAAAAGCAAGUAAAAAUGCUGUGGAUCAACAGGACAGACAGCUAUAAAUCUGUUUCUAUCAUAAUCUCUCCAGAUUCUUAUCUAGGGCAGGAAGAUCCUGAACCCACACCCACGCUCUACCCCAGAAAGCGGCCCACACUCAGGGACACAGACCCAAGGGGCUAGUGCAGAAGGCACAGGGCCUGGUGGCAGAGCUGGGCAGAGCCAGGGGAUAAGGAGGGGAGGGCUGAGUGGCUGCCCCUGGGUUUGGACCAAGCUGGAGGUCCUUGGAUACCUCCAGGGGAAAAAAGCAAAAAAAGUU